UACGUAGGGCGCAAGCGUUGUCCGGAAUUAUUGGGCGUAAAGAGCUCGUAGGCGGUUUGUCGCGUCUGCUGUGAAAACCUAAGGCUCAACCUUGGGCUUGCAGUGGGUACGGGCAGACUAGAGUGUGGUAGGGGAGACGUGGAAUUCCUGGUGUAGCGGUGAAAUGCGCAGAUAUCAGGAGGAACACCGAUGGCGAAGGCAGGUCUCUGGGCCACUACUG
rnacentral:rRNA from 1 species